rnacentral:rRNA from 1 species
UACGAAGGGGGCUAGCGUUGCUCGGAAUCACUGGGCGUAAAGGGCGCGUAGGCGGCCAUUCAAGUCAGAGGUGAAAGCCCAAGGCUCAACCUUGGAAUUGCCUUUGAUACUGUUUGGCUUGAGACCGGAAGAGGUAAGUGGAACUGCGAGUGUAGAGGUGAAAUUCGUAGAUAUUCGCAAGAACACCAGUGGCGAAGGCGGCUUACUGGUCCGGUUCUGACGCUGAGGCGCGAAAGCGUGGGGAG